GCACCUACCGAUUGAAUGGUCCGGUGAAGCCUCGGGAUUGUGGCGAGUUCCCUUUAUUGGGAGUUUGUCGCGAGAACUUGUCUAAACCUUAUCAUUUAGAGGAAGGUGAAGUCGUAGCAAGGUUUCUGUAGGUGAACCUGCAGAAGGAUCAAGAUCGGAAGAACACACGUCAGCACUCCAGACACGUGGCCAUCUCGCGUAUCCCCUUUUCCGCGCGAAAAAAAAAAAUACAUCUGUACAUCUCCUUCUUACCCCUAGUGCACUCUCUCGAUAUUCC
rnacentral:misc_RNA from 1 species